CAAAGCACUUCCCAGGUUAAAACCCUUGAAAGACUUCACAUUUCACACCCAAUAAAGUCCAAACUGCUUACUGUGCUGUGCAGGCUGAUCUAGCUCCAGGCCCUCAUUUCCUAUACUUUUCCUCUGCACUGACUUUGCUCCAGCCACAUUGGCUCCUUGCUGCUUCAGGGAUACAGUCAACUCAUUCCUGUCUUGAUGCCUUUGCUUUUGCCCUUCCUUCCAAUGAUUUACAACUAGGUCUUCACGUGUUGGCUUCUUCCAGUCACUGAAGCCUUAACUCCUUCCCUGACACUCAGUCUAUGGAGCUCCUCUCUGACAUAAUCUUGUUUUAUUGUCUUCACAACAUAUCUCACUGAAUGAAAUUAUCACAUUUAUUAGUUUUCUUCUUAAAUUUCUAUCUCCUUUUCAAAAAAUGUAAGCUUCAUGAAGACAUGGUUCUUUUUUUUUUUUUUUUUUUUUUCUGAGACAGAGCCUUGCUCUGUCGCCCAGGCUGGAGUAUAGUGGCGUGAUCUUGGCCCACUGCAACCUCCGACUCCCGGGUUUCGAUGAUUCUCCUGCCUCAGGUUCCCCAGUAGCUGGGAUUACCGGCGCAUGCCACCACGGCUAAUUUUUGUAUUUUUAGUAGAGAGGGGGUUUCGCCAUUUUGGCCAGGCUGGUCUCGAACUCCUGAGCUCAGGUGAUCCGCCCACCUCGACCUUCCAAAGUGCUGGGAUUACAGGCAUGAGCAACUGUGCCUGGCAGAAGACAUAGUUCUUGUCUGUUUUUUUUUCCUCUAGUGCUAUUUGGGUCUUUUGAGACAAAGUAACCAGCUGAUCGACUGUCUUUUCUGCUCAGCAGAACUUGCUGGCCCUGGAAGCCAUGAGGAGUAACUGAACUGAGGCGAAUAGGCUCAUACCGAACAUAGGCCCAGUCCACUGGGCAUGCCACCUGGCAUUCUUCUGUUGCUUCUGCCCAGGGAUCAUCUGCUAACCACCUGCAAUUCCCUCAUGUCUCAUUGGCUGGCUUUGGGUCUCUUCUUUGGCCUCUUGAACCUGAUGC
rnacentral:lncRNA from 10 species